AACCCAAAAUAAAAUAUAUAAAUAAAUAAAUAUAAAAUGGAAUAAAUAAGAAUAUUUAUAGAACUGAAAAUGAAACAGAAAUAAAAUAUACAGAAAGAGCCUCCUCAAAAUGUCGUCCACUGCCUCCUCUAAAAUCCUAGGGUCUGUGCCCUUUUGUAGGCCUUCAAGCUUGGUCUUCAUAUGCCCUUCCAUGUGGUGGACAUCUAAGCUCUAAGCGAAAAGUAAGCAGAGGGAGGUAGUAAAGUUGGCCCAUCUCCAAAAUCAAAACAAGGCCGAAAUGAGAAUGAUUAAAAAAAGAGAAAAGGGGGAUCAAACCAAUAUAUACAAGCCCAAAACGAACAAAGCCCAAACCCAACAGAUAAAUUAAACUAGGCUCAAAGGCCACAAACACAUCUCAGAGCAAUGAUUGAAGCCUGAAAUAAAAUCCAAGAACCCCAAUACCCACAAACAUGAAUCAAUAAAUAAACCCAAAUCAAAGCCCACAAAUAGCCCAAGUUCUCAAAACUAACACUUUGAAGAUUGAAAGCAAGGGUUUUGCUUUAUGCUCCUGAAGAAUCCUUAAGGUAAAAAGCGAAGUGCAGCAUGGAAGUAUGAUAGCAUGGGCAAUCCGUGUGGAUGGCGGCGCGGGGUUUGGGUUGUGGCCAUAAAUAGUGCAAUGGUCGACAGUUGUGCCAACGAGGGAGGCGCGUGGCCUCGUCGAAGAUGGGGGUAGUGGAGGCCAUGGAAGUGUGGGUCUCGGUGGCUGGAACGGAUCAAGUCGAUAGCGGCGGGCUAUAAUGGUGGAGAGGGGGCGAUAUGGUGGCUGUGAGGUACACGACUGGUGUGAAGGUGGCAAGAAGGGUGUGGAGAGAAGGGGGAUCGAGAGAGAGAGAGAGAGAGGGAGGGAUGUUAGAGAGAGAAUAAAAAAAGAUAGAGAGAGGGAGAGGUGUCAGUCCGGUGUCUGCUGGAGUGGUGCGAUGGCGGCGACUUGUCAAAGUGGGGUCACCAGACGAAGAUGGCUACGGUGCCGAUAGGGUAUGAUGGUAUGAGUGUGAAAAUGGGUACAAGAGGGAGUGGGAGAGAGAUGGAGGUAUUGGCCGACAGUAGUGCCACAAUUGUGUCGGUGAUGAGACUGGCAACGGUGAGGCCAUGGUGGCGAGGGGUGUGGUGCAGGGUUCAAAGUAUCGGCCGAGUCGUAUCCGCCUCGACACCUGUCGCGACGAGACCGAUACCAAAUACAGUAUAAUGCACGAACUCGGCUAGGAAUCGGUAAAACUCGGCUGACUCGUCUGAGUUUUCGAGUUAACUCGGUUAGGUUACAGAGAAUUUUCAAAUUUUAUUUCCAAUCACAAUAAAACAUCAGAACAUUUUCAUAUAAAAAAAAAAUCAAAGAUUGCCCUUUCAAAAGCAAGCACAUAUUCUGAAAUUUUAAACCAUCAAUGAGAAGAUCAAAGAAGACGAAGAAGAAAUAAUCCAACCCGUGACCCGUUUGGAAAUAAGUGGAGAAACCACCGAAGGAUGAGGGCAUGAUUUAGGAUUUACUUACCUGAUUUUCCUCAAAAUCGAGAAUUACCAGAGGGUGGAGCUUUGGUGUUGACGGUGGUGACUCGUCAAGUGGACUGGAUCUUUCACCGGCGACGUCGACGAGACAACCCCUUCACAGUCAAAUUGCUUCCCCUCCCGUGUUGGGUCUUGCACGGUUGCAAAUUUGCAAUUGCAGGUGGUGUUGUGGGUCUUGACGGCAAUUUCUGGGGACGGGAUGAUUGAAUGCGUUUGUCCAAGCAAAUAUUAGGGCUACGCUCAUUUGGCUAAUUAUGGGCUGAGCAUGGGCCAGCCCAUUUUUUAACUAUUAGCUGUAACUGGGCCGUUCUCUGAUUUAUGUCAUAAAUCUCUUCAUCUUCAUCAAAUUUUAUAACUUGGAGGUUUUUAUUUCACACUCCAUUUAAUAAAGUUUAAGUAAGUUUCAAGUUUCACAAAUUUAAUUUUUAAAAAUUAUAUAUUCUAUAUAUAUAUAUAUAUAUAUAUAUAUAUAUCUUCUUCCCUUUUCUUUUUUUAAGUACAAAUUAUUUAUCCUUUUUAUUUUCAUUUUUAUUUUUCAUCAUCUUUCUUUUUACAAAUUAAGUAAAAUGUGUUUCAAUUAUAUAUUAAAAAUGUUAUUUUUUUAAAUUUAUUCUAAAUAAAAUAUUAUUAACAAUUAUUUUUGUAAAGUGUUAUUAUUUAUUUUUAACAAAAGAAUUAAUUACACUUUCAUAAAGAUAUCAUUAUCCAUACAAUGUAUAAUAAGCAAAUUAAUCGUAUGUCAUUUAAUAAAGUUUAAGUCGGUUUCAAGUUUCACUAAUUUAAUUUUAAAAAAUUAAAUUAGAAGUUAUUGAAAAUGACAAAUAAUUUUGAGCUAAAUGUGAAAAAAAAAAAUUGUUUUAUUAAUUUUUUUCAACUUAUUCAAUUAUAUCUAUUUUUUUUAAUUUAUAUAACAUUUUUUAUAAUUUUUUGAAAUUUCUAAUUAUCUUAUUUUGCGUAUCGCCCGAUACCGAACCGAGAUGUCGAGACCGAUAUGCCUCGUGGCCCUCCGAGUCAAUGACCGAUACCGCGACUUUGAACCAUGGUGUGGUGGGGAUAAGGGUAGGUAUGGGAGAAAGUACAUAAAAAAGGAAAAGGAAAAAGAAGAAGAGAAAGACAAGAAAGGGAAAAUUUUGGGGGCCAGGGGGAGGUUGUGAAGAAAGGAAACGAGAAAAAGGAUGUGAUUUUGGAAGUCAAGGGUCAGGAUUUAAUCUUCCUAUUAGGUAUUCGAAUGAGCCUGAAAAGAAAAGAUCCAACAAAUGUGAAAAAGAAAUAUGCUUGAAAUAAAUGUUAGAGAAGGGCCUGGAGCAAAUUUUGGGUCUGGCCGAGGAUAAUGAUUUUUUUUCCUUCUCUUGCUGCCUUGUUUAGUUAAGGGUCCAUAUGUCUAUCAUCUUCAGUUGCAAUCUGGCUAGAAUUGGAAAUCAUCAGUGCUUCAGCAAUCAGCAGUACCCUCUUCUACAGUCCACACCCAUGUUAAAACUCAAGCCCUUAGAAAAAUCAUUAGUCCAUUUCUGUAUAUAUAUGUACAAUGUCCCUCAGAGCAAGUCAAACGAAGUCAUCCAGAUAUUGUAUACGUCUCUUUUAAGGUUACUUCCUUUACUGACAAUAGUUGUAGAUUGUUUAAUGGACAGUGCAUAUGACUAUUUGUUUGUAGAUGGAUCAAUUGCUUAUAAUGAUUGCCUAGAGAUAACGGCUAAGUGUUUGGUUCUAAUUCGAUUAUGCUCUUUUCUUCUAUGUUCAAAAGUUGUACUCUUAUGUGUUGGGAUUUCAAUAUUGUAAUAUAUUAAUUGAAGAAUACAAAAACAAAAAUAAAAUAUCUAUACACAAAGAUAUAUGAUAUUUUAAUAUGAUUCAUCAACCAACAAUACUUAUUUUCAUGGAUGAUGAAUAAUAUUCUAUUAUACAAUAGAGAAUAUUAUAGAAUAUAAAAAUAAAUACAAUUAUUGUGCCUUAAAACAUUCCAUGUUUUCUCAUUCUUUAUGGCUAUGUUUGGUUUCCGAAAAAUGCGAGAGAAAGAAAAUUGGGAGGAAAAAUGGAAGGAAAUAAAAAACUAAGGAAAGAAAUAUAAAUUUUUUCACUUGUUUGGUUAUCUAUGGAAAAUUCAAGGGAAAAAAAAAAAGAAUUCAUUUUCUUUUAUUUGGUUAACCACGAAAAAAAAGUCAAGGAAAAAUGAAAGGAAAAUAAAACCAACAAUUUGUCUUAGAUGAUUAUCAAUAUAAACUAGGGUUUCUUAUAAAUUUAUCAUUAUUACAAGUGUUGAUCCAUUUUUCACUUCAUAUAAUACCUCAUUGACUUCAAGAUACAUGAGAUUUUAAUAUGAUUCAUCGACUAACAAUGCUUAUUUUCAUGGAUGAUAAAUAAUAUUUUAUUAUACAACAGAGAAUAUUAUAGAAGAUAGAAACAAAUAUAAUUAUUGUGUUUCAAAACAUCUCAUGUUUCCCUAUAAUUUAUGUCUCUAUCCUAAACCACGAGCCUUUUUGUUCCAUUGGGUAUCUUCUACUUUUUUGCACAUUUAUGCCCUGAACUACAAGCCCUCUUACUUAUCAUUUAUUUUUCGUUCUUCUUUACAUCUUAAUCUAAGUCAUGAUAAGAAAAAUGGUUCGCUUGAAAAUCAAUCUCAACCUCUAUCAAAUCCUUCGUGAUAGGGUCUCUAUAUUUCAAUAAUAUGUACAUUUAAUCUCCUUUAUUUGUUUUGGUAACCAACCAUGUAUAGUUCCCUUUUUUGAGGGGUUAAUUUGGUAAGCCUAGGUUGUAUAUUGUAUAUGUAUUUCUUACCUUAAACAAUAGAACGACUAUCUUUGACUCUUAAAGCCUAUGUGGACUUUAUCAUAUCUCUCUUAUAACUUUUUUCUCUAAUGUUAAUUCUGUCUUUAUUUUGAAUCUAUUCAAUCAUUUCAAAACCAUAUCCAAAUAUCCCCAUCAAAUCUAAAAUUACUUUGGUCUCGCAAUAGUGAGUAGAAAAAGGAUAAAUAAAGACUAUUCUCAUUCAAUAAAUAGAACAAAUUAAAAACCCUUUCUUUUCUUUUUCUUUUUACCAUUUCUUAUUAUUUUUAGACAUUAAAAUGAAAUUUUACAGUUCUUAAUUUAAAUUUCAUUGUGAGCUCGUGUGACUCUUUUUAUUUAUCAGUGGAAUGCCCUUUUGUGACACAAACCAUAUCCAACCACGUAGUGUGUGCUGGUCUGUUUUCAUCUUCAAACAUCUAAUUCCUUCCUCGGCCCCGUCACCACAUAUUUACCUCAAUAGCCUCCAAAAUAUCCACGACUAUCCACUUGGAAAUGUGAUUUCGUUUUUCCUUUUUUUUUUUGCUCAUCAUGGUGGUCCAAUUAUGUCCAUGGUCAUGGUGCUUGUGAUCCUAUAUAGACAUAUUCUUGGGCGCAGCGAAGUCGAUUACCAUGAGCCCAAGGUAAUCGUUGAUAUUAGGAAUGUUUCGUCCCUCCCGAUAUUGACUCCUCCCGUCAUUGCAGUUUUGAGAAUCGAUUCUCACUGUAAAAAGCAUUUGAAAGUAGCUCCUUCGAAAAGGCUCGUUAUCAGGCCCAAAAUAACCAUCCCAACUCAAAGUAAUCACAAGAUUUUGAUGGAACGAUUUCUUGUCCUGCUUCCAUCAAAGGCAAGUUAGCAACUUCCUUCCAGUACAUAAACCAAAGGGGUUCAAUUAUUCAAACAGGUUCCAUUCAUUCAAGUUACACAAUCCUCUGACUUUCAACUGUUUAAUUAAAGAAACUAAUGAAGCUUACUAUUAAUUGAAUAUAUGAAGCGAUUAGAUUAAGAUAAUUUUGGUAUGCUUAAAAUUAUAAAUAAAUUGCAUUAAAACAUGGAUUUUACUCUCUUACUAUUACUAAUACAAUCAAUUUUAAGGUGACAAUGCCUUUUUUUUUUUUUGGUUAAUUUCAUUGAUCUUUCUUGAAGUUUGAGUUCUCAUUUAUAUUUUCAUUUAUUGCUCCUUUAAUUCAAAAUAAGGAAAGUAUGUCAAACUAAUGAAAAUGGAGUUUAAUAAAAUAUGGAGAUAUUUGAUUAAAAUAGUCAAAAUAAGAAUAAUUAUCUUUUGGAACAAAAACAUCCUCCAUCAAAUUAUAUUAAAAUAUUUUUUAUUAAAUAACGUAAGAAAUAUUUUCAUCCAGUUUAGAUUAUAUUGACAAUAUUAAACACAAAGUUUUUUUUUUUUUUGCUUUUUCAAAGUAAGAAAUAUUUUGAACUUUUAGACUUAGAUAUUUUUAAAAUAUAGAACGAGGUACUAGAAACAUGAGAAAAGCUCGGAGGGAUGACAAGGCCACAAAAAUGUCACACCAAAAAAAUAAGCAAGAUUAAUCUAUUUAUUUAUUUAUUUUGUAUAUGUAUUUCUUACCUUAAACAAUAGAAGGACUAUCUUUGACUCUUAAAGCCUAUGUGGACUUUAUCAUAUCUCUCUUAUAACUUUUUUCUCUAAUGUUAAUUCUAUUUUUAUUUUAAAUCUAUUCAAUCAUUUUAAAACCAUAUCCAAAUAUCCCCAUCAAAUCUAAAAUUACUUUGGUCUCGCAAUAGUGAGUAGAAAAAGGAUAAAUAAAGACUAUUCUCAUUCAAUAAAUAGAACAAAUUAAAAACCCUUUCUUUUCUUUUUCUUUUUACCAUUUCUUAUUAUUUUUAGACAUUAAAAUGAAAUUUUACAGUUCUUAAUUUAAAUUUCAUUGUGAGCUCGUGUGACUCUUUUUAUUCAUCAGUGGAAUGCCCUUUUGUGACACAAAUCAUAUCCAACCACGUAGUGUGUGCUGGUCUGUUUUCAUCUUCAAACAUCUAAUUCCUUCCUCGGCCCCAUCACCACAUAUUUACCUCAAUAGCCUCCAAAACAUCCACGACUAUCCACGACUGGUGUGAAGAAAUGGAGAGAAGGGGGGUCGAGAGAGAGAGAGAGAGAGAGAGAGAGAGAGAGAGAGAGGGAGAGGGAGGGAGGGAGGGAUGUUAGAGAGAGAAUAAAAAAGAUAAGAGAGAGGGAGAGGUGUCAGUCCGGUGUCUGCCGGAGUGGUGCGAUGGCGGCG
rnacentral:lncRNA from 1 species